AUGGAGGGGAAGCUGUCAGAGGCGUCGAAGCGGGCCGUCCCGUCGCCCAUCCAGCAGCUCUCCCACCUCGCGCAGCGCGUCGGCGCCGUCAACCUCGCCGAGGGAUUCCCCGACUUCCCCGCGCCCGCCCACGUCAAGGCCGCCGCCGCCGCUGCCAUCGCCGCCGACCUCAACCAGUACAGGCAUGUGCAGGGGAUCUGCGACGUGCUCGCGGCGACGAUGAAACGGGACCACGGCCUCGACGUCGACCCCCUCACGGACUUCGCCAUCUGCUGCGGGCAGUCCGAGGCCUUCGCCGCGGCAAUAUUUGCAGUUAUAGACCCAGGGGAUGAGGUUCUGCUCUUCGACCCGGCUUACGAAACGUAUCAAACAUGCAUUGAGCUGGCCCGGGGCGUCCCCGUGUAUGUGCCAUUGGAUCCACCUUCUUGGACACUGCACGCGGAUAAAUUUUUGAAGUCGUUUACUAGGCGGACAAAGGCAGUGAUCUUAAAUAGCCCACAUAAUCCCACAGGGAAGGUCUUUAGCAGGGCGGAAUUGCUUAUCAUUUCUCAAGCAUGUCAGCAAAUGGACUGCUUUGCAAUAACUGACGAGGUUUAUGAGUAUAUUACUUAUGAUGAGAACAAGCAUAUCUCUCUGGCUUCUCUUCCAGGAAUGCAAGAGAGGACAAUCAUAACAUCCUCGCUGUCAAAAACAUACAGUGUAACUGGUUGGAGAAUUGGUUGGGCUUGUGCUGCAGCAAACAUAGCUGCGGCAAUAAGAAAUAUCCAUGUCAAACUGACAGAUUCAGCUCCUGCACCAUUCCAAGAAGCUGCAUUGGUUGCGCUAACCAGCACACCGGACUACUAUGAGUCCCUGAAAAAAGACUAUGCAGAGAGAAGAGACUUCAUUCUUCAGUUACUGAAAAAUUAUGGUUUCCACAUUAGCUUCAAGCCACAAGGUUCAGUCUUUGUGUUUGCUGAGUUGCCCAAGUCUUGGCAAAUUUCCGACAUAGAUUUUGUGACGAACUUGAUUAACAAUGCUGGUGUGGCGGCAGUACCUGGUCGUGGCUUCUUCCACACAGAUGCCGACGACCAAACUUACCAUCACCGUUAUGUGAGGUUUGCUUUUUGCAAGAGCGAUGAGACCCUCAAGGCUGCUGCCCAGAAGAUGAUGAAGCCGGUUAAAAGCAACAGAAAGAAUGAACAUGUUACCAAGUAA
rnacentral:rRNA from 1 species